rnacentral:rRNA from 1 species
UAGUCCACGCCGUAAACGAUGGAUACUAGUUGUUGGGUUUAUACUCAGUGACUAAGCGAAAGUGAUAAGUAUCCCACCUGGGGAGUACGGUCGCAAGACUGAAACUCAAAGGAAUUGACGGGGGCCCGCACAAGCGGUGGAGCAUGUGGUUUAAUUCGAUGAUACGCGAGGAACCUUACCAGGGCUUAAAUGUAGUAUGACAGGAGUGGAGACACUUUUUUCUUCGGACAUAUUGCAAGGUGCUGCAUGGUUGUCGUCAGCUCGUGCCGUGAGGUGUCAGGUUAAGUCCUAUAACGAGCGCAACCCUUGUCGUUAGUUGCUAGCAGGUAAAGCUGAGGACUCUAACGAGACUGCCGGUGCAAACCGUGAGGAAGGUGGGGAUGACGUCAAAUCAUCACGGCCCUUACGUCCUGGGCCACACACGUGCUACAAUGGUAUGGACAGAGAGCAGCCAUCUGGUAACAGAGAGCAAAUCUAUAAACCAUAUCACAGUUCGGAUCGG